rnacentral:rRNA from 1 species
GACGAACGCUGGCGGCGUGCCUAAUACAUGCAAGUCGAACGAAGCUGUUUUAACUGGUGCUUGCACCGACUUAAACAACUGAGUGGCGAACGGGUGAGUAACACGUGGGUAACCUGCCCCAGAGCGGGGGAUAACAUUUGGAAACAGAUGCUAAUACCGCAUAACCACAGAAACCACAUUGUUUCUGUGUCAAAGAUGGUUUCGGCUAUCACUUUGGGAUGGACCCGCGGCGUAUUAGCUAGUUGGUAAGGGAAUGGCUUACCAAGGCAAUGAUACGUAGGGGAACUGAGAGGUUGAGCGGCCACAUUGGGCCUGAGACACGGCCCAAACUCCUACGGGAGGCAGCAGUAGGGAAUCUUCCACAAUGGACGAAAGUCUGAUGGAGCAACGCGGCGUGAGUGAAGAAGGUUUUCGGAUCGUAAAACUCUGUUGUCAGAGAAGAACGUGUGCGAGAGUAACUGCUCGUGCAGUGACGGUAUCUGGCCAGAAAGCCACGGCUAACUACGUGCCAGCAGCCGCCGUAA